CUGGUUACUAGUUUAUUUUAAUGUCAUCCGUUUAUUUUAGUGUUGUGUGUAAUGAUCAGGGCCUGAGCUCAGAUGUAGUCCAAAAACGACGCCCUCUAGCGGCCACCCUUGAGAACGCAAUGUGAUGACGUUUCUCCUGCGACACAGGACGCUGGCUACAGCCGACAGCCACGCGCCACCAGCAGCAGCCACCACCACAGCAGUGGACCUUGUUAUGACCACUUGUGCUGUAAAUGAGCGUUUACCGAGUGUUUUUGAAAGCGAGUGGCUCAACGCCCGCUAAAGACUGAGUUUAGAGGGACACGUAGGGGCAGAGGAGAGAGCGGGAACCUUUUCCUGUUUCUGUGUGAAGGCUGUGGGCGUGCGCGCGUGUGUGUGUGUGUGUGAGAGAGAAAGUGUAUGUGUGUCAGGUCCACAGGAGCACUGCCAUGUAGCUGGGGCUGAAGAAUGAGCGGCCAGCACACAACAGCAGAUUCGACAGAAGACCACACGGUCCAGCAGGAGAAUGAACUAGAAGCCCUCGCCUCUAUCUUUGGAGAUGACUUCAAGGAUCUGCGGAACAAGGACCCGUGGAAGGUCAAAAGGCCGCCGGAGGUGCACCUCUGUCUGAGGCCCAACGGACUAAACAAUGGACAGGAAUGCUACGCGACCGUGGACUUGCAGGUCAAAUGUCCCCCCACGUACCCAGACGUGCCUCCGGAGCUGGAGCUGAAGAAUGCCAAAGGCCUCUCAAAUGAAAAUCUCCAGAACCUGAAGAGUGAACUCUCAAAGCUGGCAGCGGUGCGAUGUGGAGAGGUGAUGAUUUACGAGCUAGCGGAUCAUAUCCAGGGUUUCCUGAGUGAGCACAACAAGCCUCCACCAAGCUCCUUCCAUGAGGAGAUGCUGAAGAACCAACGGAAGCAGCAGGAGAAACAAGCGAUGGAGGAGCAGCGGAAGAUAGACCAGCAACGCAGACAGGAGGAGGAGAUGGAGAAAGAGAUUAUGGCUGUAAUCCAAAGAAGAGAGGAAGAUAAGCGAGAAGAAAAGAGAAGAAAGGAAAUAGCAAAACAGGAGCGACUUGAGACCAUGGAGCAGCCACUCGCUGCUAACAGUUCUCUGUUAGGGAAGAGCCCCCCAAGCCCAGGGGCAGCGCCAUUUGAAGGGAGUGAAGCGAGAAAAGGAGUUGGUAACCGCCGUCGGACUACCUCGAGCACACGCCACAGACGUGACACGUUUAAUGAAGACAACCAGCGCUCUCAAGAGGUCCUUCACUUCAACAGCAGCACUUUUGGAGAGCUUGCUGUUCACAGGGGGAAAAGUCUAGGUGAAAGCGAGAGGCUUGGCCGUAGCACUUAUUACGGAUUCGAGGCAAACUCUGGAGACUUUGCAGUGAUCUAUGAGUGGUCGCUGUGCUGGAACAAGAAGAUGGGCAAGUUUUUCACCAGCCAAGAGAGAGGAAAGAUUGACAAUUGUAAAAAACAGAUCCAUGGGGCUGAAAAUGAGUUUAACUCCCUCCUGAGACUGGAUCACCCAAACUUGGUGCGCUACAUGGCGCUGAGCUCUGCCGAGAGGGAAGACUGCCUUGUGAUUGAUCUACUGGUGGAGCAUAUUCCUGGGGUCAACUUGAACCAAAACCUGAUCAGCAACAACCCGGUCCCUCUGGAUAAACUCCGCCAUUACACGUCCCAGCUGUUGGCCGUACUUGACUACCUUCACUCCAACUCUGUAGUGCACAAGCAGCUUGGCGCCUCCAGUGUGCUGUUGGACUCUGGGGACAACGUUCGGCUAACCGAUUACAGCUUGUCGAAGAGAUUCGCUGAUAUCUGCAAAGAGGAUAUUUUUGAGCAAGCCCAUGUUCGCUUCACAGAGGGAACGGUGAUGCCGACAAAGAUGGGCAAGAAAGGCGACGUGUGGAACCUGGGGCUGAUGCUGCUCGCACUGAGUCAAGGGAAAGAAGUGAAGGACUAUCCAGUGACGGUGCCCGCCUCACUGCCUGCUGAUUUCCAGGACUUCCUCCACAAGUGUGUGUGUAUCAAUGAUGCUGAGCGCUGGACGCCCCAGCAGCUCUUGGACCACUCCUUCCUCAAGCCUCCAUCACCCAAAAACCUGCCGCAGUCCAACGAUGCCAGCCCAGAAGAUCUUGCUGAGGACUUUGCCUCAUCGGUCAUCCCACGAAGUCACAUCCUCAAUGCUCCAUUUAUAUCUGGCGUGCAGAGGCAGUUUUCACGCUACUUUAGUGAGUUUGAGGAGCUGCAGCUUCUGGGAAAAGGAGCCUUUGGUGCCGUGAUAAAGGUUCAGAACAACCUGGACGGCUGUUACUACGCUGUGAAGCAGAUCCAGGUCAACCCAGCCAGCAAGCAGUUCAGACGGAUCAAAGGCGAGGUGACGCUGCUCUCGCGUCUCAACCAUGAGAACAUCGUCCGCUAUUACAACGCAUGGAUCGAGCGGCACGAGAAGCCCUCCACAGGUCUGCUGAGCAGCACCGACAGCUCCGAGCCUCAGAGUACAGAUGACGACGUUCCUCGAGGCAGAGGUCAUCCGCCGAAGUGUCGGAAUGAGCUCGGCUUCCUCGACAACGUGGAGGACAACGCGCCGCCUCCAGCGCUGUCGAGCUCUGUAGAGUGGUCCACCUCCAUUGAGAAGUCCUCCAGUGCCAUGUGUAGUAGACACCAAUCAAGCGAUGAUGAGGACGAUGAGGAUGAUGAUGAAGAAGAUGUGUUUGGCGCAUCUUUUUUGCCAUCGGAUAGUGACUCGGGGAGUGAUAUCAUCUUUGAUAACGGUGAUGAAAGCAUAGACGAGAUGUCACAGCUUGACCCGAGCAAAAGAACAGCGACUGAAACAACAGAGAGCACAGACUUGGAUCAACCACACCUCAUAGCGCAUUACUUGUACAUACAAAUGGAAUACUGUGAAAAAAGCACUUUAAGAGACACCAUAGAUCAUGGCCUGCAUCAGGACCAGAAUCGGUUAUGGAGGCUGUUUAGGGAAAUCCUGGAUGGCCUCGCAUACAUCCAUGAGCAGGGGAUGAUUCACAGGGAUUUGAAGCCUGUCAACAUCUUCCUCGACUCGCAGGACCAUGUGAAAAUUGGAGAUUUUGGCCUGGCGACAGAUCAUCCUGCUAAUGUGGCUGCAGGUAAAAUUGAAGUAGAGGAGAUUGUCUCUGCAGUGAUGCCCAAAGUGGACCCAACAGGUAACAUGACCGGCAUGGUUGGCACUGCGCUCUACGUCAGUCCGGAGGUUCAAGGAAAUACUAAAGCUACCUACAAUCAAAAAGUUGACCUGUUCAGCUUGGGAAUCAUCCUCUUUGAGAUGACCUAUAGGCCGAUGGUCACUGGGGCUGAGCGCAUCUCUGUCCUGAGCCAGCUGCGUGUUGAGCCAAUCGUCUUCCCUGAGGACUAUACAGCGUAUGAGCAAGGAACACAGAGGAAAGUGAUACAGUGGCUGUUAACCCAUGAUCCAGCUCUGCGGCCCACCACCCAGGAGCUGCUCAAGAGUGAACUGCUGCCUCCGUCUCAGAUGCAGGAGUCGGAGCUGCAUGAGGUGCUGCAGCACACCAUGGCCAACAUCAAUGGCAAGGCCUACCGCACCAUGGUGGGCCAGCUGUUCGCUCAGAAUACCACACCGGUCAUGGAUUACACCUACGACAUAGACCUGCAUAAGGGUAGCUUCAGCUUCAGUGGUGCCAAAUUGCAGCAGCAUGUGUAUGAAACAAUCACCAGGAUCUUCAAGAAGCAUGGUGCAGUCCGUCUCCAGACACCGCUGCUCCUCCCCAGGAACAGGAAGUUGUAUGAUGGCAGUGAGCCGGCCUGCUUCAUGGACCACAGCGGAAUGCUGGUUACGCUGCCCUAUGACCUUCGCAUGCCGUUUGCCAGAUUCAUCGCCCGCAACAAUGUAACUCACCUGAAAAGGUAUAGCAUCGAGCGCGUGUUCCGCCCCAGGAAGCUGGAUCGCGCACACCCGAGGGAGCUUCUGGAGUGUGCCUUUGACAUCAUCACACCCGUCACCAACAGCUUGCUCCCUGAUGCCGAGACCAUUUACACCAUCUCUGAAAUAGUUCAGGAAUUCCCUGCACUCCAGGAGAGAAACUAUAACAUUUACCUUAACCACACCAGUCUGUUGAAGGCCAUCCUGCUCCACAGUGGAGUCCCUGAAGACAAACUGAGCCAGGCCUCUAGCAUUCUGUGUGACGCUAUGAGUGAAAAGCUGACCAGACGUGAGGUGGAGGCAAAGUUCUGCAACUUGUCAUUGUCAACCAACAGCUUGCAGAUACUGUACAAGUACAUAGAACUGAAGGGAAACCUGCAGGACCUGGUGCCACUUCUGACACCACUCACCAAGCACAAGACGGCUGUCACCCAGCUGGCCAAGCAGGGCCUCAAGGACCUGGAGGAGCUCACUGUGCUCCUGUGUAGACUGGGAGUAAAACUGCAGGUGGUGGUCAAUUUGGGUUUAGUGUACAAGGUGCAGCACCACAGUGGAGUCAUCUUCCAGUUUGUGGCUUUUAUAAGGAAACGCAAACGAACUGUACCAGAUAUUGUGGCGGCUGGAGGACGUUACGACCACUUGAUCGUGGAGUUUCGAGGGCCAGCCUCCACAGUGCCAGUCCCCUCCGCAGUAGGGGCCAGUGUGGCUCUUGACAAAAUCUGUGCUGCUAUAGCCAACAUGGAAGAACAAAUGUCAGUGAGCUCCUGUGAUGCCCUUGUGGUCCCAGUUGGACAUUCGUCGAUGUCCAGAGCCGUCAGUGUUGUCCAGAAGCUGUGGAGCACCGGUCUCUCCGCAGACAUUGCCUAUGAUGUCUCACAGUCUCAGGAGGUGUUGCAGGACCACUGCAAAGUGGCCGGCAUCACCUGCAUGGCCCUGGUGUCUGACAAGGAGGGAAGCUAUGUGAAGGUAAAAUCAUUUGAGAGGGACAGACAGUCAGAGAAACGGAUUCCGGAGUCGGAUUUGGUGGACCACAUCAUUCAGAAAUGUCGGACCAAAUUCUUUGACGAAAGAAACAUAAGAGAAAUCCCUGAAAGCAUGUCUCUUCAGAACCCCAAAGGAUCGCUGCUCAACACCACAGGGUCUUCAGAGCAGCAUGGGAGCAGCAGCACCAUGAACCUUAAUGUGAACAUCAUCAGUCCUGAGAAAGUUUCCUCCAGUGUUAAACGACGCUAUGAGACUCAGGUCCAUACCAGAUUACAGAAUCUUGGAAGCACUUUGCAGAACAAGAGCAACGACAUCGAGGUCCUGGCUGUGGACCUGCAAAAGGAAACGCUGAUCAACUUCCUGUCUCUGGAGUUCGACAAUGAAGAGCUGUUCAACAGCAGCGUGAAGACUCUGCUGUCUCGUCUCCCGAAACAGCGCUACCUAAAGUCCAUCUGUGACGAGAUCCACCAUUACAAAGUUACAAAAAGGAUGGCUGUGGUCAUCUUAUACAGCUACAAGGAGGAUUACUUCAAGAUCCUUCUAUGAAAAACUCUCCUCGAACGAGAGACUAGAACUUCCCCCCCCCCAAGGCUCUGGGGACGUCCACCGGCUGAUUUCGUCAUUGGACCCACAGUAUCUACUUGAAAACUGGCCGAUUUGUACCUCCUCCCUUUGGAAAGUAGAGGAUUCCUCACCUAUUAUUCCAUGAGCAAGCUUUGAUGGACAAGUCAAAACAACAGCACCUGAGGAUGAUCCAGGGUUUCCACCUCUGGCCUGCAGAUGUUUGUCUUUUCUUAGCCCACUGGAUAAAAGAGAGGGUCUACGUGCUUUUUGCUUGCUUUCUGAUCUCCUCAAACACACAACCGAGCAAAGCUGGACACAUCUGCUUUAGCUCCCAAGAUAAGGAAAACCACUGUGGUAAGGAAGAGAAAACGAGUUCAAGUCAAAUGACCUAAAAGUGCACCAGUUAGUAGCAGUUAAGUCCAGGUGUGUGCAGUUCUGUAAAUGAACUAAAGAACGACUAAGAACAGAUAUCACUGCACCUCAGACUCGAUUGCUCCUCAAACCCAGUCACAAAAACCCACGAUCAUCACACGCCACUUUGGUUCACACAUUUAUUUUUC